UCCGCACAUAUAAGCUGCACGGAAUAUAUAUAAGUAUAGAGACGCCAGAAACAAGUUACUGCAACUAAAGUAACAAAUAGAUAACUUCUGAACUUACAUUUAGAAUGUGAAGAUUUCCCGAACAUUUCAGACGACCCUUUUGACCCUUUUUUUUGGCAAGACACUUUUUGUAUGCAACUAUGACAUUAAUGAGAUGUUUAGCAAAAAACAUGCACCAGUUCAAGCCCUUUAUGUUUUUCCUAUUUUGGUCGAGAUUUCUCAGAAAAUUUGUAUCUAUCGUGUUACAUUNNNN
rnacentral:lncRNA from 1 species